AGCUGGAGCAGCCCCGGGGGCUGCGGGAUCCCAGGGAGUCGGGAGGAGACGGGGGCUGAAAGCUGGAAGUGCUGGGGCUGGAGGAACCGCGUACUCACUGCUUUCAGCAUCCCAGGCUGUGAUGGAUUGAUGCAGUGACCCAGCACACAAGUGUUUAUCAUCUUUGGAGAAGCAGGCACUGCAAAGGCCUUGCAGCAGACCUGUGGGCUGGAAAUGGAUGGUUGGCAUUAGAUUGUUGUGCUGGUAAAUACAGGGUGAAGUGGA